rnacentral:rRNA from 1 species
GUAGCGGCCACAGCGGUGGGGUUCCUCCCGUACCCAUCCCGAACACGGAAGAUAAGCCCACCAGCGUUCCGGGGAGUACUGGAGUGCGCGACCCUCUGGGAAACCGGGUUCGCCGCUAC